UUAGUAGCGGCGAGCGAACAGGGAAGAGCCCAGCGCUGAAUCCCCCGGGCGAGAGUCCGGCGGGAAAUGUAGCGUUAGGGAGGACUCGUCAACUCCUAUGAAGUCCGCUCGCUCAAGUCCAACUUGAAUGGGGUCACACAGAGGGUGACAGGCCCGUAGAGCAGGGACUUAAUAGAGAGUGAGUCUCUCCUCAGAGUCGGUUUGCUUGAGAGUGCAGACCUAAGUGGGUGGUAAACUCCAUCUAAGGCUAAAUAUGACCACGAGACCGAUAGCACACAAGUACCGUGAGGGAAAGGUGAAAAGAACUUUGAAGAGAGAGUUCAAGAGUACGUGAAACUGAUAUGGUGUAAACGGACGAGACCGAAAAGUCCGAAAGGGGAGAUUCAAGCUUUAUCCCGGAACGGUCUCUCGGGGGGCAGAUGGUACGGACUGCUCGGGCCCUUCACGGGGCGCCGGGUACGCUUCGUGUCCACUCGCCUCUUCGGGUACGUUUCCGCCCGGGUGGGCUGCACUUCUCCCCUAGUAGGACGUCGCGACCCGUUGGUGUACGGGGGUCGAAGGCUCGAGGUGGCAGACCGUUGGGGGGCGCUUGGUUUACUCCUCGCGUUGCUCCGGCGGACCCUCGAUCGACCUGACCCCCAACCGACGGUAGCAAAGGUUGGGACAGGGACCGCACACAUUGUGUUGCGCGGGUUGGAACUCUUACGAGAGGCCGUAAACUCCCGCCGGUCCGUUUUGAAAAUCCCGGUCAGCGGCGCUUCUGCUUUUGGUACUCGUCCGACCCGUCUUGAAACACGGACCAAGGAGUCUAACAUGUGCGCGAGUCAUUGGGCUCUACGAAACCUAAAGGCGAAAUGAAAGUAAAGGCGGAAACUCUGUUUCUGCUUAGGGAGGAUGGUCGAUCCUACGUGAUUGACCCGCACUCCCGGGGCGUCACACGGUCUUCUUGACCAGUGGCGCACCCAGAGCGUACACGUUGGGACCCGAAAGAUGGUGAACUAUGCCUGGCCAGGACGAAGUCAGGGGAAACCCUGAUGGAGGUCCGUAGCGAUUCUGACGUGCAAAUCGAUCGUCGGAGCUGGGUAUAGGGGCGAAAGACUAAUCGAACCAUCUAGUAGCUGGUUCCCUCCGAAGUUUCCCUCAGGAUAGCUGGCGCUCGGAGAGGAAAAUGAGACGAGUCUCAUCCGGUAAAGCGAAUGAUUAGAGGCCUUGGGGCCGAAACGACCUCAACCUAUUCUCAAACUUUAAAUGGGUGAGAUCUCCGGCUUGCUUAACUGAAGCCGCGAGGUAGUCGAGUGGAUCAAUGAGUGCCAAGUGGGCCAAUUUUGGUAAGCAGAACUGGCGCUGUGGGAUGAACCAAACGCAGAGUUAAAGCGCCUAAAUCGACGCUCAUGGGAAACCAUGAAAGGCGUUGGUUGCUUAAGACAGCAGGACGGUGGCCAUGGAAGUCGGAAUCCGCUAAGGAGUGUGUAACAACUCACCUGCCGAAGCAACUAGCCCUGAAAAUGGAUGGCGCUGAAGCGUCGUGCUUAUACUCUGCCGCCAGGGCAAGAGAGUCGCGGGAUCCUCCGGACAUGAAGCCCUGGUGAGUAGGAGGGUCGCGUCGGUGUGCGCAGAAGGGUCUGGGCGUGAGCCUGCCUGGAGCCGCCGACGGUGCAGAUCUUGGUGGUAGUAGCAAAUACUCCAGAGAGGCCCUGGAGGGCUGAUGUGGUAGAAGGGUUUCGUGUGAACAGCCGUUGCACACGAGUCAGUCGAUCCUAAGCCCUAGGAGAAAUCCGAAGCAGAUGUGCGUAGCCGGUAUUCAGUCUGACUGAUGGCCGCCAUCGGGCGAAAGGGAAUCCGGUUCCUAUUCCGGAACCCAGUAUCGGAACCGAUCCAAUCGGGCCCUUAAAAAGCUCGUCAGGGUAACCUAACAUGCCCCGGAGACGCCGUCGGCAUCCCCCGGAAGAGUUUUCUUUUCUGUAUGAGCGAGCGUAUUCCCUGGAAGCCUCUAGCAGGGAGAUAGGGAACGGCUCGCGAAGAGCACCGCACUUGCGGCGGUGUCGGGGGAGCGCU
rnacentral:rRNA from 1 species